UACGAAGGGGGCUAGCGUUGCUCGGAAUCACUGGGCGUAAAGCGCACGUAGGCGGACUCUUAAGUCGGUGGUGAAAUCCUGGAGCUCAACUCCAGAACUGCCUUCGAUACUGAGAGUCUCGAGUCCGGGAGAGGUGAGUGGAACUGCGAGUGUAGAGGUGAAAUUCGUAGAUAUUCGCAAGAACACCAGUGGCGAAGACGGCUCACUGGCCCGGUACUGACGCUGAGGUGCGAAAGCGUGGGGAGCAAACAGG
rnacentral:rRNA from 1 species